GGAAGUUCACGGUUCAUAUCUUACUGAAGCCUGGCUUGGAGAAUUUUGAGUAUUACUUUACUAGCAUAUGAGAUGAGUGCAAUUGUGCGGUAGUUUGAGCAGUGUUUGGCAUUGCCUUUCUUUGGGAUUGGAGUGAAAACUGAUCUUUUCCAGUCCUGUGGCCACUGCUGAGUUUUCCAAAUUUGCUGGCAUAUUGAGGGCAGCACUUUCACAGCAUCAUCAUUUAGGAUUUGAAAUAGCUCCACUGGAAUUCCAUCACCUCCACUAGCUGUUCAUAGUGAUGCUUUCUAAGGCCCACUUGACUUCACAUUUCAGGAUGUCUCACUCUAGGUGAGUGAUCACACCAUCGUGAUUAUCUUGGUCUUGAAGAUCUUUUUUAUACAGUUCUUCUGUGUAGUCUUGCCAUCUCUUCUUAAUAUCUUCUGCUUCUGUUAGGUCCAUACUAUUUCUGACCUUUAUCGAGCCCAUCUUUGCAUGAAAUGUUCCCUUGGUAUCUCCAAUUUUCUUGAAGAGAUCUCUAGUCUUUCCCAUUCUUCAGUUUUCCUCUAUUUCUUUACACUGAUUGCUGAGGAAGGAUUUCUUAUCUCUCCUUGCUAUUCUUUGAAACUCUGCAUUCAGAUGUUUAUAACUUUCCCUUUCUCCUUUGCUUUUGGCUUCUCUUCUUUUCACAGCUAUUUGUAAGUCCUCCUCAUUGCAUUUCUUUUCCAUGGGGAUGGUCUUGAUCCCUGUCUACUAUCUAUAGUUCACCAGGCACUCUGUCUAUCAGAUCUAUUCCCUUAAAUCUAUUUCUCAUUUCCACUGUAUAAUCAUAAGGGAUUUGAUUUAGGUCAUACCUGAAUGAUCUAGUGGUUUUCCCUACUUUCUUCAAUUUAAGUCUGAAUUUGGCAAUAAGGAGUUCAUGAUCUGAGCCACAGUCAGCUCCUGGACUUGUUUUUGCUGACUGUAUAGAGCUUCUCCAUCUUUGGCUGCAAAGAAUAUAAUCAAUCUGAUUUCUGUGUUGAUCAUCUGGUGAUGUCCAUGUGUAGAGUCUUCGCUUUUGUUGUUGGAAGAGGAUGUUUGCUAUGACCAGUGUGUUCUCUUGGCAACUUUAUUAGCCUUUGCCCUGCUUCAUUCCAUAUUCCAAGGCCAAAUUUUCCUUUUAUUCCAGGUGUUUCUUGACUUCCUACUUUUGCAUUCCAGUCCCCUAUAAUGAAAAGGACAUCUUUUUUGGGUGUUAGUUCUAAAAGGUCUUGUAGGUCUUCAUAAAAACAUUCAACUUCAGUUUCUUCAGCGUAAUUGUUUGGGGCAUAGACUUGGAUUACUGUGAUAUUGAAUGGUUUGCCUUGGAGACAAACAGAGAUCAUUCUUUCAUUUUUGAGACUGCAUCCAAGUACUGCAUUUCAGACUCUUUUGUUUACCAUGAUAGCUACUCCUUUUCUUCUGAGGGAUUCCUGCCCGCAGUAGUAGAUAUAAUGGUCAUCUGAGUUAAAUUCACCCAUUCAAGUCCAUUUUAGUUCGCUGAUUCCUAGAAUGUCGACGUUCACUCUUGCCAUUUCUUGUUUGACCACUUCCAAUUUGCCUUGAUUCAUGGACCUGACAUUCCAGAUUCCUAUGCAAUAUUGCUCUUUACAGCAUCGGAUCUUGCUUCUAUCACCAGUCACAUCCACAGCUGGGUGUUGUUUUUACUUUGACUCCAUCCCUUCAUUCUUUCUGGAGUUAUUUCUCCAUUGAUCUCCAGUAGCAUGUUGGGCACCUAAUGACCUGGGGAGUUCCUCUUUUGGUAUCCUAUCAUUUUGCCUUUUCAUGCUGUUCAUGGGGUUCUCAAGGCAAGAAUACUGAAGUGGUUUGCCAUUCGCUUCUCCAGUGGACCACAUUCUGUCAGACCUCUCCACCAUGACCCUCCCGUCUUGGGUUGCCCCGCAGGCAUGGUUUGGUUUAAUUGAGUUAGACAAGGCUGUGGUCCUAGUGUGAUUAGAUUGACUAGUUUUCUGUGAUUACGGUUUCACUGUGUCUGCCCUCUGAUGCCCUCUUGCAACACCUACCAUCUUACUUGGGUUUCUCUUACCUUGGGUGUGGGGUAUCUCUUCAUGGCUGCUCCAGCAAAGCACAGCCACUGCUCCUUACCUUGGAAGAGGGGUAUCUCCUUACCACUGCCAUUCCUGACCUUCAACAUGGGAUAGCUCCUCUAGGCCCUCCUGUGCUUGUGCAGCCACCAUUCCUCAGUGAUUUUGGAGCCCCCAAAAAUAAAGUCUGACACUGUUUCCACUGGUUCCCCAUCUAUUUACCAUGAAGUGAUGGGACCAGAUGCCAUGAUCUUAGUUUUCUGAAUGUUGAGCUAGCAUAGACCAAAAAUUUUCUGCAAAUGUUCACAUAAAAAAGGAAAUGACCAACAUCAGCACAGAGUCCACGUUAAAUAUAGUCGUUCUCAUUUAAUUUCCAUGGAGAUUUUGCUACCUUCCAAUCUCAAACAGCCGCUGCCUGUUUUACUUUUCAGGCUAGGAAUGGCUUCACUGUACUGCAGCUAUUUUGUGUUCUGAAAUAUUUGUCUCCAUGUGUCACCUUCUCUGUCACAAUCAACAUUUUUCUGCCCCAUUAUCCCUUGGGAAAGUUUAUGGUUUCACCCUGUAAUGAGCUGAGUCAGUUCCU
ensembl:lncRNA